ACACUAUUCGCGGUAGUGCUGUAUCUCAAGGUUUGUUGUAGUGUGGUAAUAGAGGUAAUGAACAGUAAUAUAUCAUGCACUGACAUUCCAAACCUCGCAUUUAGAGCUGAUUCACACGAAACUGGCAAUUCUUGACGCCCUUGAAUCGAAUCUUUUCGGAAUCGACUCACUGUUCCUACCCCUCCCGCCGCAGCUGUUGUUUGAAUUUGUGCGGGUGCGCUGACAGCAGAGCUUGUGUUCUGGUUCUGCAGUGAGGGGCUACUGGCUGACAGCGUCCGGUAAUCUCUGAGAGAUUUACCGCAGACGAAGCAUGAAGUUGUUUCGAGCCGUUUAUUCCCGCUUCAGGUGCUUCGCUGCUGGGCGCACUGAUUUUCUGAGAGAUUUACAUCAGACGAAGGUUAGUAUAAAAACAUAAAACCAUUUAAAUUCUGCACAUUCUGCUCAUCUGAUUUCAGAGUCUCCCAACACUGCAGCUGACUCCUGAUUCACCGGAGACAGCCUUGGAGGAGAAAUGGUCAGAUAUCAAAUGUUGCCAUUCUUUUGGAAAACUGCUGGUCUUUAAAGAACAGUCAUUAAUCAGGUAACUUGAACACAGUUUUUGAAUACUUUUCAGUUACUAAAGUUAUCUUUUAUCCAGUUACUAAAUCACUUUGACUAUUUUUUCCAAUUAUUAAUGAAGUUUAUUUUAACAAAGUUCAGGAGAAACAUUUUCAGGUAAUCCAACCAAUUAGCAUCAGAGGAAGUCUGUAUAUCGCCGCUUUUCUCACCUCCAUUCCCAGACGACAGCAGGCCAAAUAUGCUUAUUCUGUCUAUUAUAUAUACAGUC